rnacentral:rRNA from 1 species
CGGGUGCGUAACGCGUGGGAAUCUGCCUUAUAGUGGGGGAUAGCCCAGAGAAAUCUGGAUUAAUACCGCAUAAUCCCUACGGGGGAAAGCUUGGGAUCUUCGGACCUGGCGCUAUUAGAUGAGCCCGCGUUAGAUUAGCUUGUUGGUGAGGUAAUGGCUCACCAAGGCGACGAUCUAUAGCUGGUCUGAGAGGACGACCAGCCACACUGGGACUGAGACACGGCCCAG